GAGCAAUUUCAAAUCUGUUCAGUUUUUUUUGAUACACCCUGUAGAGUUGCCCGUGGUGUGCGUCCGCCCCCCUUUGCCUUAAUUGAUACCUUAGUUCAGAAAGCGGUAUCAAUUUCCCGUGCGCAAUACAAAAUGACUGAAAAACGGCAAACUUCGCAGGGUUAUAUUAUCCGCAUUUUACAACAUUUCGCAACGAAACUUUGGAAUAUUACUAAUUUUGUGAUGCUCUUUCAAGCUGUGAUGAAAUUUUUGUCUAGACUUGUCUAGAUCAAAAUUUUGUUCAUUAGGGAAUAGGCCCAUUUACUGCUGCGCACUGCACUGUCCCCUCUUGGUGAAGCUCACGAAUAUAGGUAUACACACUGCAAAAUCGUGUGUAAUCUAUUUAAUAACUCAAGACUUAUACCAAACCUUGUUUGUGUAACACAAGCUUGCAUGCGCAUGUAUCCACUUUAUAUAAAUGCAUCACCAUCUCUAGCCUGCAUGGCAGGCGAUCCUUAAAACACACAGGAAAAUUCUUGACUGAGCCCACAAUGUCAUGGAUUGAAUGAGCAGCGACAUGACCAUUUUUCUGUACAAUUUCUGGUCGUGGAACAGUGAAUACAUAUUGUCUGCAUGUCCAUCGUGCUUUUCACGCUUAAAGGUCGAGGUGUGCGGUUUUGAACGGUCUGUGCCAAUACACAAGCUGCUGCGGGGG